UAGCACUCUUAAGUUCAGGUUGGUCCACUC
rnacentral:piRNA from 1 species